CAGCCGCCGCUCCUCCGCCGCCGCUCGCCGCGCCCAGCCGCCCGCGCACGCCCAGCUCCCCCGCCGCCGCUUGCCAUGCACAGAUCGAUGCACUGCAACACGCAAGGGGCAACACACACACCCAUCCUCUUCUCUCUCCCUCUCUCUGCUUCUUUCCCCUUCUUCUAGAUCGAUGACCAUGGAUGCUGAGCUCUCCAAAUCCUUGCCCAAAAGCACACGCUACUAGUAAAUGGCACACUCACAUCCUCCAGCCUCACACGCACACCUUCCAACCUCCUGUCGUCUUUGUCUAUCUCCUUCCACUUUCUUUUCCCUUCUACUCAUGGAGCUCAAGCAAUCCACCCCAGAUCGACCAUUAGGGUUGGGGAUUUCUAAGGAUUUAACUCCAAAAUCGAUCUAUUAGGGACUAUGACUGCUGUGUACUAAUUUUUUUUCUCCCCUUCGAUUUUUUUUCUCUAAAAUUAGGGAUUUAGGAUCCGGCACUAUUUUCCCCAACCUGAUAGUAAGUUCAUCUCCCUCUCAUUUUCCUGUUCUUUUUUUAAAACCUAAUCUGUAGCUCAAAGAUACAUACUUGAGAGUUCUAGUAUAAGUUCUUGUGUUAAAUCUUCAUCCCACAUUUAAGUAUUAAGUGAAUACUUGUGCUGAGAAAAAAAGAAAGAAAACAGUUCAUGUUCUGGCAACAAUUAGCUCAUAUUUUUUUGCAUCUUGAAUAUUUUAUCUAUCUGUCAUGUGUAAGACUAGUGCAACCAAUAUGUUUAUCUCUUUUGGCAUGUGCUUUGUGUUAUCUGUAGAAAAAAAGGAGAAAACUUUCUCUAGAAGAAUGUGCGGUGCAGGUCAAACCUCACCUUAAUCUUUGAGAUUUCAGCUGUAGGCAUAGGCUUGUGCUUCCUCACAAGCAACCCUUCUAUCUGCUGAUGUAAAGAAAUUUUCCAAGGAUUAAUACAUGAUCUCUGUAUUUUGAUAUCAAUGUGUAUCAAUUAUUUUGCUGAUGUAAUUAAGAGAACUGAUGGCUCACUUAUCCAAGGUUAAUUAUCUACUAAAAACUGGGUCUUUGCAGCCACUCAAAUAAACAAUGAUGCAUUAUUCAUUAGCACAAACCACCAGCCAGUUGCGAGAGAUUUUUCCAAUAGAUUAUGUCAGAAAUAGCUACAUUUCAGUGAUUUAGGUCUGUGUAUCUUUUGUGAAAAUGGAAUCAUUGCUCUUUCAGUCUUCUAAAAAAUUGAGCAGCACUGUAAGAAUAGGAAAUGUUAUAAAUAAAUCACUGAAAUUUUGACACUCCCCAAUUUUGAUUUAUCUUGUUCUUUCUUGCUUCAGGGUUUGGACUACAGCUCCUUUCUUUUUCUCUAUGCAAUGCCAAAUAUCUAGAAGCCAUUUGUAUGUAUGCCUAUGGUGUUAGGGCCUUCAGCGGUGGACUGGUUGUUGUUUGGCAUAACAAGUAUAAAACUAUCUGUUCCAACUGUGGCAUGCGAACUCUCUCAGGUAUUCAGUUUGAGAACAACUGUGAAGUUGGUGUUUUCUCCAACUGUGGGUUUUGAGUUUUUGACCCCCACUGUAUCUCCAGUAGGACAAAGGUAAAAUAAGCCAGAGUCUACCUCAGCUCCACUUUGUUUGUUUGGCUGGGCUAUCAUUUUCCAUUCCCUUCAGUGUUCUGUUAGGGACAAGUGCUUACAGUUUUUUGAUCUGUGCAUGCAAGCUGUGAAGCACCUGAUUACUGGAUGGUGAAAUUACUUCUUGUCUCUAUUUAUUGGUCCAAUAAUUGAUAUUUUUCCUAGAACACAUGGUAUUGUUCACCAAGCAUAUUUAGUCGGUUCUAAACUUUUGAUCAAGUUCUCCUGUCCAUCUUAUCAUGUGUCAAUGCAGGGGACUGCCUAUACAAGGGGAAACUGAAGCUCGUAGGUUGUUGUGGGCAGCGUACACCGCUGUGAGUAUGUGCCACACUAAUCCAUAUGUUUGCAAACUUGGGAGGCUACAUAAGGGAGCUCAACCAUUUCCUGAACAUAUGGUGUUUCAUGACAUAGGAGUUAGUAAUAUCCUUUCCACUUUGAAAACUAUUAGUGACCUGUGUGUUAUAAUAUAUAGACUUCAUGUAAGGAUGAAUGUUAAAUGCAGUUGUAAUAUUCUUAUGGAUGUGUUAAUGUCAAUAUAAUGGUUGGGCUCAAUAACAGAAUGUAUGUGAUGGUUGAUCUGAUGUCGCUCGGCACUCCCCAUGUGCCCUCGCUCUCAGACCCGGCCGAGACUUCUCCACGCGUGCUCACUGUCAGCCCGCCCGGCACCAUCCACGCUUCCUCCAAUCACCCUCCUGUCUCCCCUCCCCCUCGCGAGAUCCCUCUCCCCCGUGCCCCUCGCUGUGCGCACUCGCACGCGAGGGUCGCCCAUGCCGCCACCUCCUCUCCCUCGUCGUCACACUCAGCCGAACGGACGAGCCCUCGCGAUCCUAGCGCACCGCCAUCUGGAGAAGCCAAGCAUGAACGUCGUCGCCUCCUCUCCCUCCAUGUCGUACCCACACCGCCACCAUCGUCGUUGUUGUUGUCGCACUCGCGCCGUUGUCGCGCUCACCGAACGGAUGAGCCCUCGUGAUCCUAGCACGCCGCCAUCGAGAGAAGCCAAGCCCGAACACCGCUGCAUCCUCUCCCUUCCCACCGCCUCCUCUCCCUCGCUCAAGACAGAAAGAUAACCCAGGCCAUCGGAUCCAGAGCUGUACGUGCAGCUGGGUGAGCAGGAUGACCUGGAAGCGCUCCUCCAGCUGGGUGAGCUGUACGUGCAGCUGGGAGUUGCCAUGGCCGGCCUUGUCGGCGUCCUCCGCCGGCUCAGGAAUCUCACAGAGUGGUGCUGCUUGAAUGCUUUCUAUCUGAUUUUGUUUGAUUUUUUAGCAGGGUGUUGGAUUCUUUAGAGAUGAUUUUCAGGGAGUGCUAUUUGGAUUUGUGCACAAACUGGGACCGCGAAUCGAAUCUGCAUCCACUUCUUUCAUUUUGCUUUUAUGAAUUUGUGACGGGGCCGGGGGAAGAAUUAAGAAGAAUGUGUAUCCAACGUGAAGGUUGAAGCAGCCGAAUGCUCUGCAUGCUUUGCUUUUCUGAAUUUGGAUGGCCAUGUUGCAAAAAGACUGCAUGUUGCUGCUGCCACACUGCUGAUUUGAUAGUAGUAAAAAGUUUGAAUUUUUGAAGAAGAGGAUAUUGCAGCAGACAACAAUAAAAAGCUGGGCGCACUUUGUGCAAACACAACGAGGGGUUGUAUUCAACGCUAAUGGCAAACGUUUAAGAAAAUGAAGCACUUCUUUCUGCUUGCUAUAGACAUUUAAGGGCAUCGUCAUCUAUGAUCAUUGCAGCCGUUGGUCCGUCAAGCAAAACAUGAGUCCAAAACACGCUCAAAGAGUCAAUUUUGAACAUGAUACUACCUACAUUCAAACUUAAAAUUAUCGUAGCAUAGUUUUGUCUUGCAGAUAUUUGACGCUUAUUUUUUUUGGUAAUUUUACAACACAUGUUUAAACUUGAGUUAUUGUGGAAUUGUUUUUUUAUAUUGCAUCGCAAAACAAA